rnacentral:sRNA from 1 species
AAAACAAAAAUAAAACAAAC